GACAUGAGGCAAACGUUGUUCGGAAUUACUGGGCGUAAAGCGCGUGUAGGCUGCUCAGAAAGUCGGAUGUGAAAGCCCUGGGCUUAACCUAGGAAGUGCAUUCGAAACUUCUGAGCUGGAGUUCUGGAGAGGAAGGCGGAAUUCUCGGUGUAGAGGUGAAAUUCGUAGAUAUCGAGAGGAACACCGGUGGUGAAGGCGGCCUUCUGGACAGUGACUGACGCUGAGACGCGAAAGCGUGGGGAGCAAACAGG
rnacentral:rRNA from 1 species